rnacentral:rRNA from 1 species
AUGAAGCUGGAAUCGCUAGUAAUCGCGAAUCAGAAUGUCGCGGUGAAUACGUUCCCGGGUCUUGUACACACCGCCCGUCACACCAUGGGAGUUGGAAAUGCCCGAAGUCAGUGACCCAACCGGAAGGAGGGAGCUGCCGAAGGCAGGCCCGGUGACUGGGGUGAAGUCGUAACAAGGUAAC